CGGCGGAAGUGGACUCUCGCCGCCGCCAGUCCGGGAAAAUGCUGUGUGUAUUGUGUUGGGGGCUGUGCUUUGGCCUGUGCAGCCUCCUGGUGGGGCAGGUGGAGGCCCCGAGCCCAGUGGAGCCGCCGGAGCAGAGCCGGCCGUACGCGGUGCUGCGUGGGCAGAACCUGGUGUUGAUGGGAACCAUUUUCAGCAUCCUGCUGGUGACUAUGAUCCUUAUGGCAUUUUGUGUCUACAAGCCCAUUCGGCGUCGAUGACAGCUGAGCAAGCAAGUUCUUCAAGUGUCUGGGAACAGAAUCAGUUGUGUUGCACAUGGGUCACUGGAGAAGUCGGAAUUUGAACUUCCCUGCUUGGAAAUGACCUUUGGUCUGGACAGUUGGUAAAUGCUAAAUGAUUUAGAAAAAAACAUCUAGCAGUUAUUUUUUCCUAACACUGUAAUGCAAAUAAUUGGCCACUGAGUCUGCUUCUCAUUGUUUCUUUUUAUAUGUGGCUACAAUUGUUAAAAGUAAGACCUAAAGCUCAGUGUAAAGAUGGAGUGCUUACAAGAAAGAAAACACAGCAACCUUGUGAGUGACAGAAAAACCACAUUGGAAAGGACUAAUCAUUAAUAUUUGAAAAUGUUAAGAGGAAGGAAUAAUAUGUAGACAGGCAUUCCCAACUUAAGAACCAUUUGGUGGCCAAUGGGUUAAGAAUCACAAGUGUUUUUAAUUAUGCUGGGCUGGCCUCGAGUACUCCAGUUGCAAAGCACUCAGUGUCAGCUGGGGGAACUUAGGCCCUUGCUCUUCAUGUAGCAUUGAGCUCUGCACUCAGAUGCCCCCACUGAAGUCAAGGUCAAAACAGGUAGGCCUGUGAUCGUGUGUACCUUUGGGCUGGAAGGCCCUGGGCCCUGGGGUUGGACUGAGAAUGCUUCUAGUUAGUUGGCCAUCCGAGAAAGGACAGCUUCCUGCCCAAACAUACGGAUCUCCUUUGUGUUGCACUUAAAUCUUUCCAGCCCUUGGCCUAAAACUUAUGGCAGCUCUUCGGAUUUGGAAUAGACUCAGCGGGAACUCCUUCUUUUCAGCCCCGAGUGGGGAGACUCAUCCCGCAGAAGUGCCUGUUCGCUGUACCAGGCAGAGUGGCGGGUGGGUAUGUGUUUACACAAAUUUAAUUUCACCUUUGAAAAUGCUGCUGGUUGUUUGCACUGUUGGUGAACUGGAUUUCCCCCCUCUGUUGAAAUGAUACUUUCAGACUUACAAGGCGGUUAUCAGUAUUUAUUUUAUUUUAAAGGUGCUAGGUUUAAUUUUGUUAUUAAUUUGAAAUGCUUACCUUGUGCUCCAUUCAGGCACAGCACUGAUUGUUUUUUUGUAACAACCCGCACUUACUGUGAAAUAAUUGAUGUGGAAUCUUGCAACUCUUUGACUUAAGGCCUUUGUUUGUAACCCUAACAUUGAGCCAUUCAAAUGUGAACUGUUGUGUGCUUUGCAGCAAAUGCCAAUUAAAAUUAAAGUAAAAUCUUA